UUCCUUCAUUAGAUUAUCCCCGAAUUCGGAUCAUCACACCAUUUGUUGCUUCAAAUUGCCAAAAGAAAAAAAAGGGGAAAGGAAAUAAAUUUCUGAAACUAAAUGUUUUGCAAAGAAAAAGCAGAAAAAAAAGUAAUUCUUUGAGUUGUCAAAUGAUAAAUUGGCCAGUUGGACUUUUUAAAAGUGCUUCAGAUCAGUUCUUUAACAAUCGAGGUUUAGUUUAUGGUCAUGGAUACUUGUGUUGCAUCAUGUUGAGAUUAGUAUCAGACUCAGUGUAAUAUGUAUACUAAACUCCCACUCUCAUUUGUGUUUGUCACUGUCAAUAAUAAGCAUAGCUGUAAAGCAGGAAAUACUCAGUAAUAUGUUUAAUUUUAAAUCAGAGCCACUGCCAGAAAAAGUGACCAGGAUAAUACAAUUUGUCCUGCAAAUGUUAUUCUUUUCUAUUCUGAGUUAAAUGAAAUUUGUGGACCUAGUGAUAAUAUGUGGCCUUACUCCAUUGAAAAGGAUUCAGGUAUUUUGUUUAACAAUAGAGGGCGUUGUGUUUAUUUCCAUAGAUUGAUGUAGAGACGCAGUGUCACAAAGUAAGCUAACUCUUGUUAUGUUCUGGCAUCUUUGGCCCGAUUUGCCUUGAGCACACAGUUAUUAGUAGAUGAUGAGGUAACUCUGUUAGUAAACAAAUGAGCAGAAAGGAAGUUAAUGCUAAGAUGAGCUGAAGAAGGCAGCUAGAGGGCAAAAAAGGCACUUUUUUCCCACUUCUUGUUAGGCCGGUUAAAACUGAAAUCCUAAGAUUUACAUGGUAUAAUAUCAGAUAUGCUCAGUGCAUAGGGAAAAAGCAUGGUCAUAGCACAGUAAGACAGCAGAUGUUAUGACAGACAGCCUUCAGCUGAGGUUGUCAGAAAUUUAUGUGGCAUCAAAGCAUUCCCAUCUCGCCAGAUGUCCUACUCCAUAAGCCAGAUAGGCACCUACAAGCUGGCUCCCUGGCUGGCUUUUUCUCUGAGGCCCUGAGCAAAAAAGAAAGCUGAUUAGCUUGAGAUCCAAGCAGACUGCAGUACUAAGCACCACUGAUAAAUUAAACUCAUUUACAUUCUGCUCAUAAAGAUUCUUCUGUGAACAGAAAAAUUUUCAGAUGUGUUGUCUACUCCAGACGUAUUACAUACUCUCCCUCUGCCUCAGUUUAGGUUUUCUACUGAAAAGAGGUAUGUAGCUGGAAAAAGCUAGAUCUAGACUUUGAACUACAGUGCCUAAUGCUGCUUUCUCAAGUAAUAAAGACUGGGCACACCAAAUUUGGAAUGGAAACACACAGGGAGUUUCCACCUCUUAGAAAAUUUACCCAGCAACAGCCCACUUACUAGGCUAGCACAAGGGAGCAGAGAGUAUGACUGAUAUAGAGUGGCAUACACGUGUCCAUCAUUUGUAGAAACUUAAGUUACGUGUCUGAUGUGACAUUGUCAUGUACUGUAAUUUUCAAUCUUUCUUCCCCAUCAUGUUUUGACUUGAAAAGGCAGAAAACUGUUGACUUCAUCUUUUAUAUUGGGCAGAUGUUCUUUCUUUUUCCUUCCUGUGUUUCUCAAAAUCAUUUAAAUUAGAUUUUAGCAAUUUUAACAGAUAUGAGAGAUGCCAUAUUGAAAAACCUGGCAACAAAGUCCUGCAUUAGUUUCAUUUAUGCAGAUGAUGACACAACGGUUUUGUGUGCAGGCUGCAACCCACAGACCUGGGUCAUAUUCUGAACAGGACAAGGGCAGAUUCUAUGCAUAUGAAACUAAUUCAGGGUCUUUUGUUUAUUUCCUUCUGGGCUCUCUUCUAAGCUGCUAAUGGUGGCACCAUUUGUAUUACCCUGAUACCACAUGCAUGUCUUGGUAGGGCAUCUAUUGUACUCUGUCUAGCGAUCAUGCCAGUCACUAAUGACCUAAGAUAGCCUAAUGCACUAGCGAAUACCUUUAAAAGUAUGUGUUGAUUAGAUUGAUUAGAUAAUAUCCCCAAAGGUAGCCACAAAUAAAAUCACAAAUAUGUAAAAAUUUCUGUAGCCCCACAUGUACUUCUGCAUGUAUAUGUACUUUUGUAUUCUUACAGUUCCUAGUGGAUGUGGUGAUUCUUCUAGUGGACACGGUAGUGGGUUAAUUGCAUAGAGAUUCAUUUUAGUUCCAGUAAGUGAUAAUCUAUCUCUCUAAGUAUGAUAAGUAAACAGCUUUGCAAGAUUUUUAUCUACAUUUUUUUAAAAUCAUCUCUUAGUUUUUACAACCUAGGAAUUAAAAAUCUUUACUGUUUUAAUGUCAGUUUAAAAAGGGCUAGGAAAGCUGCAAAUAGUGUGUGCAGUAAAUCUGUGCCAUGGCAGAAACAAUCAGAAGAGAAGAGAGUAAAGAGUAAUGAUUAAACAUUUAAUCAGAAGCAUUAUACUUUGUUGUGUUCUCAUUGUAGCUGCAGGAAAAGAUGCUGUAACAGAUCUUUAAAUAGAAAACCUGAGGCUAAAUUCUACUUCAUCCAUCAAAAGCAGCUGCUAGGAGAUGACCUAAUUUUAGUGGCUUAUCAAUUCCUUAGUGCUUGUUGGUUGAUGUAACUUUGAUCCUCUGAUGCUAGAUGACUUUUGUGCUGAAUAUAGCUAGAAUUUAAUGUGAAUCUUUUGGAUGGCUGCCCAGCCAAGCUGCAUAAUCCAAACAAAGAGAGCGAGCAGUACAUGAUUCAAGCUACUCACGUGUACAAUAAUACAAAUAUAUGUACCCUGAUUCCUUUGGGCAAUCAGAUCCAUGUCACCAAGCACAUAUUUCAAAUACAAUGUCCUUGUGGUUUUUUUGGCUUUUUUUUUGUUUUGUUUUUAGUUUUUUGUUGUUGUUGUUGUUGUUUUGUUGGGUUUUUUUCUUUUUUUUUUUUUUCCAAACAAUGCUUUGCUUUUCAUUGGAAAAACAACAUAAGAUGCAGUGAGACUCAGCUGCUGCCAAGAAAUAAUGAUAGAGUCAAUAAUUGCAGGACGUUUUUAAUGAAUGUUUUCCAAGCAAAUCAUUGCCAUUUCAAAGGGCUGUUAUUUCUAUUUAUGUAGAGAUUAGCCUACAUGUUAUCAAGGAGAGAGAAUGGUUCUAUGGUUUUUUUAUCAUUGUUUUUUGUAGCAUUUUUAAGGGAUUUAUUUAUUUAUUUAAAUACUAGAAUAUGUCUUUGUUUCUCUUCCUAUCUUACUCUUUAUCUGGACUGUUACUUGUUUUCCCUUUCCUUUUUCUCUUUCUCUUUUUGGCUCUCCACUAAAACCAUCUGUGACACACAUGCAAGUUGCUGGGUGUGUGAGCAAUGCUUCACACAUAUUUACUUACCCUACUUGGCAUUAUUUGCUAGUCAUUAAAGAUUAUGCAGGAGUUUUUCCUGUCCCAUUUUUUUUUUAUUCUCUUAGCAAGCUAAGGUAGGAAUAAGAGAGGGGUCAGGCUGUUGUACAGAGUUGGGUUUUUUUGGUGGUGUUUUGUUUUUCUUUUUGUUUGUUUGUUGGGUUUUUGGGUUUUUUUUUUGUAUUUUUUUUUUCUGGGAAAGGCUGUGUCUAGAGUUUAGACUGGAAGGAUUAGACUGGAAGGAUUUCUGGAUUUUUUUCCUGGCACAAGCAAUUAUGCAUUGUGUGAGCUUGGGCCAGUCACUUAGGGCCUGUUUUUCACACUCCAGUUGAAAUAAAUGGGAACUGCAUGUGCUCAGCACCUCUGCAAACCAGGUCAUUUAUCUCUCCUCCUUUCAUUUAUGCAUUGAUAAAUAUAACAAUCUUUGCCUUUGCAUAUGCAAACUGGGUAGAAGGAUACAAAUAUGGGCAGUUAAACAUGCAAAUCCCUCAUUUUGAUGCACAACCAUCCAUUUUGUACAACCAGGGAUUUCUACAUUUGUGACCCUUGGGUUCUUUCUGGAAAAAUGGGCCAUAAAUAACAAAAUCUAUACAGACUUGUCAGGGAGGCACAGCUGAAAUCAAUAUGUUUGUGUAGCUUCUUUUCUAUAGUUUCACUUCAGUUAAAAAUACUAUUAGCUGUAAUAAUCAUUUUAGCCCACUUUAUUACUGGAUUAAACCAUCUUGUCAAUGUGCAGACGGCUUGGGCUUUACGUGGUAACUGUAUGUUAUUACAAGACCCAGAAUUAGCUGUUUGACACAUUUUUGGAGUUUUAGGUGGGCUUUAUUAUCAUUUCACGGUACCUGUAUUUUUUCAGUGACAAGUGUCCGAAGUGGCUAGCCUGCAACUCAAGAUUGCCUCAGUAUAGGCAUUUCACUGUGCCCUAUGGACAUAUAGAAAGAGCCAGAUCUGGUUGAGCUGCAAAGCAGCAACACCAACUGGCCCAGUUGCCUGGUUUACAGAGGAAGCCAGCUGAGUUUGAGAAAAUUAAAGAAAUAAGACUUGUGGUAUUGAAGAAUGCCCAGUGUCUUUUUUGGAAGGAAGACCCAGGCUGUGCUACAUUGCCAUUAAUGGAAAUGAGAGUUAAGAGUCUAAUCCUUCUGCAGCAGGGGAGAUUAGAGCAUAUUGUGAAUAUGAUUUCAGUAUAAAUACUAAGUUCCCCAAGGGUAUCUCAUCAACAGCAACUUCAAAAGUUACUUUUAUGCCACUUCCACUCAGCUGACAAGAACACUUGACAUUUUGAGAAGGUUUAGAAUAGAAAACGUUAGCAGUUCAUGUUGAUCAUGUAACUCAUUGGCAAAAACACUACUGUUUAAAUAUCAUGUUCAGUCAUCACUGGAUUGCAAUCUAAUGAGCGUAAAAGAUGAGUACUUCUCAAAAGUGACUUGUUUUGUAACUUUUACGGUUACAAACUUGCAAAAUGAAAAACAUGGACAUUUACUUCCCUCCAAAUAUAAUUUUCAAGGACAGUGUUCUUUCAUGCCUUGGAAAGGCACUCCAAACAGCUGUAAAUAAAUAGUCAUGAUUCUGUUACUUUCUGCUCAGUGAAUUCUCAAUAGGAAAUUUUCAUUGUUAUGAACAUGAUGAGUAAUCUUGCUAAUGUCAUAGUUACUAACUACGUGCUAGCUUGUCUUUAAACACCUCCAGCUUUACGGAUGUAUGCAGCCAUUAUCAAGGAGCAGCGUUCCAGGUAAUCCUCCAGUAAAAGGAAAUGUAAUGUCCUCUUUCCUCCAUCUGAUAUAAUCACUGCUUGACUUUUCCUUAAUUGAGCCAACCAGCUCUUAUAAUUCACUUUGGCAUGGAUCAAGGAGUGGGAUUGCUGAUGUCUCUUACUUGCUUGUUUAUUUAACUUCCCACUACCUAAUCAGUUGAAUAAAAGUGACCUUCCCCUAAAUAUAUGAGUGGCUAUACUAUGUUAUACUAAUGACUGCAACAUGCAGAAAACCAAAACAAGCAUUUUGCCAGGAUCAACAAAAAUGAUGAAAACACAGUUUGCAGCAAUGUAUGAAUUAUUGCUGCCAGCUUGCAGUUCCCAAGUUAACUCUUGAUGAAGUUAUAAAUUGUGACAAUUAAUACUGUUUCUAUCUUGAGUCACACUGUGGGCCAAUUUCUGCUGUCAUAAAUUGGGAAUAAAAUCAUUACAAUUAGAUGGUUCUAUUUCUGUCCAACUAAAAUCAGAAUUUUCCUUCCAAAAAUCAAAUAAUGAUGGUGUGAGAUAGAAAAAGGGAUACAUGGUGAUUUCUGUUGCAUGGUUUCAACCAGAUCAGGUACAGAGGUGGAAGGUAACUCAGUGACUCAGUCUGGGAGUUAACUUACGCCAAGAUGUGAGGUUCAGAGCUUUGUUUGAGAACAAGGAAGUAAAAGAAAUCUAAUUUCAAGCUCCAUUGGAAAUUGAAGGAAAGCAAACAAUAUCUGAGAGAAAGCAAGGAAGGGAUAGGAUAAAAAUUCAUGAGAUAUAUAAGAGGUGGGGGGAGGAUGGAAUUGUUUAUCUGAAUCCUCCCUAAAUGUCUUCAGAGACUUCGUUCCAGACCAUCCUAGUUUUAGCUUUUUAAAAACAAAUCCUCCCUCUUAUUUUAAAUAGGGGUAUGCUAGAAUUAGAAGCACUUAUCCAAACCACCCAGGCUUUAACUUUCAGGGUUCAGAAAAAAUGGGACCUGGAACUGAAACAGCUUUGGUUUGGCUUUUGCAAAACUGAAACCACUUUUUUUUUUUUUUUUUUUUCUUCCUCCUCCAUAGCUAGACUAAAGCUUCAUUCAGAGCACUAGCAGUGAAUGUGUGAAAACAGCACAUGCUAAAAAGAACAAAUGCAAUUCAGCUACCUCAGUUCUAUGCAGUGCUGACUUACAGGACACUGGAAAGAUAGUAGAAAUGUCCCACCCAGGAAUAGCUAUGGAUGGAAGCAGGAUCAUUUUGGGAUCAUGGAGCUGUAUUGAUGUAACAGCAAGGCUGUCUCCACAGAUUUCCACUGACGUUACAUCCCAAAUCUAUCUGUGCUAGAUAGCUUGCAUUUUGGCUCAGAAUAGCUGAAAGUCUGAAACCUUUUCAAGUAUAGUAUGUGUACCCUGUUUCACUUCAUUGCUUUGCUUCAUUACUGUGGUAAUCUCCUUCACUGUGCGUGUUUACAGAAAGCUUGUUCUCCAGGUUAGAAAACAAGAAUUGCUUUCAUUGUUGGGUUUCUUCCAAGCUCUAUCAUUAAUUAUAAACAUAGUUUCUUCAAAUCUUUUUUCACAACCUUUUGUUUGGAAACUUCACUAUUUAAAGACCUGGGUAAUAUCACCGUUUCCCAAAGGCUGUAUUGUCCAAGGGGAAGAAUAUUCAGGAUGAAAUGCUUAUCUUCUUUUUCCCCUUGUGCAACAAUGCCUCGUUACUGUUGUUAUUUGCAAGAGGGAGGAUUUUUCUAUUAUCAGGACAUCUCCUGUACUGAAUUUUCAACAUUUAAUAGCCAUUAAAUACAUUUUAAACAUGUUUUGCUACAGAUGACUUUGGAUUACCUCCCCUUCAACCUUUAAAAUCUUGGGAGCUUUUUAAACAGUAAUUUGCCAGGAUGUUUUUUAAAGUUUCCAGAGCAGAGCAAGCUUAGCAAUUCUAAUCAUAAUGUAAGCAUUUUAAAAUGAGAAUAUUCCUUCUGAAAAUAUGUCCACUAGCAAACAAAUUAUGUGGAAAAAAAAAAUAAAAUAUCUCAGAAAAAAUCCAGGCAAUCUUUGUGCAUUUGUCAUGAGAUAAAUCUCCAUUUUAUGAGCAUUCCAUUGAUCCAGUUAUUUUCAACUUCUUUGCUGUAAUUUCUUGUUGCAAACUAUUUUGUCUUUUCCGGGUGGAAUAUGGAGGGGUUGUUACACGUACCUGUGGAGUGCCUUACUCAGAGUUCUUAUUGGAGAGAAUAGAAUUCACAUGUACUUCUAAUACUUUCCUGCACAGGGUCAGCUGGAUGCUCUGGGACAUGUUUUGAGAUAAAAGUGUAGCAUAAAAUUGUAAAACCUAACAAGGACUUCCUCACCAUGGAAAAAUUCUGUACAAAACAAUGAUGUGUACAGAGCAGUGAUUCAUUGUUAGUGUAAUUUCUUGUAAUAGCCAAAUUUUAGGGCACUGCAUAGAAGACAAACCUAUUCUGCUGACUCACCUUCAUCUUGCUCCAUCUUCAUGUAUUACAAUAUCUGCAGUCAGUAUCAGCCUUGGGUUGAUGCUGCUGCUAACAUAUCUGUCCUAAUUACCUGCUAUGGAAGGGGCUUAGGGCCAACUUAAGUGUGAUGUAAAAACAGAUGAAAUUCCCACAUGCUCUUUAACACUCUUUUUACUACACAGGAAAGCCUGGGGUUUGGUUUGGGUUGGUUGUUUUGGGGUUUUGGUUUUGGUUUUUUGUUGUUGUUGUUGUUAUAGUUUGAGUUAACAUCACAGAUAGACUCAUGGGUGCGUAUAUAUCCAAUACAUAUAUUGUUGUUGCCAGAAAAUUGCAUGCUGCUUUUCCCCAGCCUGUUUUGAACUGCAAAAGCUGCCAGAAGCUUACCCACCAUUUUCACAUAAGCAGUAUAUGAUCUGAGAGGUGGGAGUUUUGGGGUGGCACAUCCAUCCACUGGCAUCUUUGAAGGAGAACUAGAGCUUUUUGAUUUAACCUGGAGGGGGAGGCUGUUCAAACUCACUGGGGAGGGAGUUACUGCUACCAUUAACAAACAUGAGUCCUGUUCUUUGUGGAUACAGCUACACACAUUUUCUGGAGCCUGAUGGGUGGGUCCGUCAGUUCUUUGGUGGUGAAAGCAAGGAUAAUAGACGAACUGAUGUGCCGAUACUUGGAAAAUGCUGUAUGAGACUAUAAAGGGACAGUAGUGGUGGGAGCCAGACAGUAAGUGUAGGAUUAUCUGGUGGAUUACCUUCUUGAGAAACCAGGGUCACCCAGUAGAACUGAAGAACAGUUACUCCAAUCUACAACAGAAUUGGCAUAGAGAAGAAUUGAGGGACUUUUGGUAUUCCAAACAGAAGCAAAUUAAAGGACCUCAGACUUCUUUGCUCUUUCUGCCUAUCCUCUUUUUCUGCUGUAAGUGUAGGGGAAUGAUGUCCUCCUGGUUCACAAUGAAAUUUCCUGUCAAGUGAAGCAUCUAAAUCUACAGUGAUCUCAGGGGACAGAAUAUCUUGUGGGAGGUCAGUGUCAGCCUAAGUGCAAAGAGUGGAGGAAUUGGGCUUGGGGACAGGUGGUUGAUACUUCUGCUGUUGGUGAUGGCUUUUGGAGACUGGAAAACCUUCAGGCCUGGCCAUUCCCAUGGAAUGGAGCAGAUCAGCCUGCAGGAGUGGUGCGCACCAUCCCGUACUGUCGCCCAUUGCCUGCAGAGAAGCUGGGAGUAUUGUCUUGGCACAACAGCACGGACCUGGUUUGUUCCUAGAAAGGAGAAGGCCUCAUUCAGGCAGGAUACAAGAGUUUUUGGAAAGCCACCAUAGAAUUCUGGGGGCUGAGACAAUGUGUACCAGAGGGCAGAGGGAGGAGAGAGGAAAUGCAAGAUGCUGUUGAAUGUUGGCCCAAGAGUGGAAGAGUAUGUCACAAUGUUAAAUGUUGUUUGUCUCUGUGUGUAAUGUUCUUUGUUGUGAUUGAUAAUUUAGAGAAUUACAAACUGAACUUAUAAAUAAACAAAUUGGAGCAUUGCUCUGGGCAUGCGGAGAGCACAAUAUAUGUGUGUGAUGUCAUGCAGUAAUUAGUACAAUGUUGUCUUCAUGAUUUCUGGGCCACAGGCUUUGCAUGGAGGACUUAAACAUCUACUAGCAGUAAAAUCCAUUAGGAAAGGCAACUGUUUCCUCAUACUGCCUUCCUUCAAAGCCAGCACAUUGAAAAUAGGCUGUUUCCUUCUCCAGAAAUUCCUUUUGAGAUGGCAGAAACUCCCCCCCCCACCACAGCCUUAGCACAGGAACAUGUUGAUUUAAUGCUUUCUUUUCACUAAUGAUUGUGUAGUUUGGACUUCGUUGAUGUACUUCUGCCACUCUCUUAAUGGAGAUCCCAAUUUGAUCUUGAAUUUAGGGAAUGGAAAAUCCAGAUAAACAUCCGGUCUGCCAUGAAUGCAAAGGACAAAGCCUUUGUAGUAAAAUGUCUCUGACAUACGCCCAUGAGAAUUGUUUGAUGUGUUGUAAAAGGCAUCUGUCUAAAAUAAAAAAAUGUUUUUCCUCUUUGGCUUUGUUGAGCAGACUGUGGAAAUAAAUGGCACAAAGUAACCCUUCUUUUCCUCUCCUACUGCCCUCUUUUUUGUU